rnacentral:rRNA from 1 species
GAUGACCUCUGGCGGCGUGCUUAACACAUGCAAGUCGAGCGAAGCAGUUAAGAAGAUUCUUCGGAUGAUUCUCAACUGACUGAGCGGCGGACGGGUGAGUAACGCGUGGGUGACCUGCCCCAUACCGGGGGAUAACAGCUGGAAACGGCUGCUAAUACCGCAUAAGCGCACAGAGCUGCGUGGCUCGGCGUGAAAAACUCCGGUGGUAUGGGAUGGGCCCGCGUCUGAUUAGGCAGUUGGCGGGGUAACGGCCCACCAAACCGACGAUCAGUAGCCGGCCUGAGAGGGCGACCGGCCACAUUGGGACUGAGACACGGCCCAAACUCCUACGGGAGGCAGCAGUGGGGAAUAUUGCACAAUGGGGGAAACCCUGAUGCAGCGACGCCGCGUGAGCGAAGAAGUAUUUCGGUAUGUAAAGCUCUAUCAGCAGGGAAGAUAAUGACGGUACCUGACUAAGAAGCCCCGGCUAACUACGUGCCAGCAGCCGCGGUAAUACGUAGGGGGCAAGCGUUAUCCGGAUUUACUGGGUGUAAAGGGAGCGUAGACGGCAAGGCAAGUCUGAUGUGAAAACCCAGGGCUUAACCCUGGGACUGCAUUGGAAACUGUCUGGCUCGAGUGCCGGAGAGGUAAGCGGAAUUCCUAGUGUAGCGGUGAAAUGCGUAGAUAUUAGGAAGAACACCAGUGGCGAAGGCGGCUUACUGGACGGUAACUGACGUUGAGGCUCGAAAGCGUGGGGAGCAAACAGGAUUAGAUACCCUGGUAGUCCACGCCGUAA